rnacentral:rRNA from 1 species
CCUACGGGCGGCUGCAGUGGGGAAUAUUGCACAAUGGGCGCAAGCCUGAUGCAGCCAUGCCGCGUGUGUGAAGAAGGCCUUCGGGUUGUAAAGCACUUUCAGCGGGGAGGAAGGCGGUGAGGUUAAUAACCUCAUCGAUUGACGUUACCCGCAGAAGAAGCACCGGCUAACUCCGUGCCAGCAGCCGCGGUAAUACGGGGGUGCAAGCGUUAAUCGGAAUUACUGGGCGUAAAGCGCACGCAGGCGGUCUGUCAAGUCGGAUGUGAAAUCCCCGGGCUCAACCUGGGAACUGCAUUCGAAACUGGCAGGCUAGAGUCUUGUAGAGGGGGGUAGAAUUCCAGGUGUAGCGGUGAAAUGCGUAGAGAUCUGGAGGAAUACCGGUGGCGAAGGCGGCCCCCUGGACAAAGACUGACGCUCAGGUGCGAAAGCGUGGGGAGCAAACAGGAUUAGAUACCCUAGUAGUC